GACUGUUUGAUGCUGGAACCAGCUGGAGAUUUCGUCCAAUAACAGGACCAGACUAAAACUGCAUAACUGACCCGAUGUUGUGCGUCCGCCUGACAUUGCAGAGCUAUAAGCGGACUAAUUAUUCUCCUGCCACCCCUCCAACACACAGCCUGGAGCCUGUUUGUGAGGACCAGCAGGUGGCUAUCGACUCACUCGCCUUGACCCCUGUCUCAAGUCUGUUUGCACGUCCCCGAGUGAUGAAGAAUGUAAGCAGGAAUGAGGGAGUGUAGGGAAGAAAACACUGUGAAGAACGGACAUGAGGCCGUGUGAGUCAGUGUUGGUAAAUGGAGGUGGGCGACUCGCAGUCUGACUGGAGGUUUUAAAGAUUUACAGAUUUUAUGUCCUUUUGCAUCUUGUUUGUGUCAUUUUGCAUCUUGUGUCGUUUCGUGUCUCGUAAUUGUUGUUUUGUGUCUCGUAUUUGUUGUUUUGUGUCUUGUUUUUGUAGUUUUGUCUCUCGUAUUUGUUGUUUUGUGUAGUUUUAUGUCUCAUUUGUGUUGUCUUGUGUCUUGUAUUUGCUGUUUUGUGUGAUUUUCUUUCUCUUUUGUGUUGUUUUGUGUCGUAUUUGUUGUUUUGUGUAAUUUCGUGUCUCUUUUGUACUGUUUUGUGUCUUGUAUUUGUUGUUUUGUGUAACUUUGUGUCUCGUAUUUGUUAUUGUGUGUUAUUUUGUGUCUCGUAUUAUUUGUUUUGUGUAAUUUUGUGUCUCUUUUGUGUUGUUUUGUGUCUCGUAUUUGUUAUUUUGUGUCUCGUAUAUUUGUGUCAUUUACUGUCUUGUCUUGAGAUGGGCGACUCGGAGAUUUAGAGAUUUUAUAUUGUUUUGGUUCUUAUUUGUCUCAUUUUGCAUCUCGUUUGUGAUGUUUUGUGUCUCGUAUUUGUUGUUGUGAGUCAUUUUGUGUCUUGUGUCCUUUUGCAUCUUGUUUGUGUCGUUUUUUAUCUUGCAUUUAUUGUUUUGUGUCAUUUGGUGUCUCAUUUGUGAUGUUAUUUGUUGUUUUAUGUCUUGUUUGUGUCAUUUACUUACUUGUUUUUGUCGUUUUGUAUCUUAUGUGUUGUUUGUGUCUCGUUUAGGUCAUUUUUGUCUUGUGUUUGUGCUUUUGUGUUUUGUUUGUGUUGUUUUGUGUCAUUUGGUGCCUCAUUUGUGCUGUUUUGUGUUUAUUUUUAGGUUUUGUGUGUUGUCUUGUAUGUUGUUUUGUGUCUUGUUUGUGUCAUUUCCUGUGUUGCUUUUGUUGUUUUGUGCCUGCUUUGUGUCAUUUUGUUUCUCAUAUUGUCUGUUUUGUGUCAUUUCGUGUCUGUUUUUGUCAUUUGAUGAGUCAGAGUGCUGGUAGAAGGAGGUGGACGACUCGGAGUCUGGAGAUUUUAACACAUACGGCGGGUAGAUGAUUACAUGAAGACAGUUGGAACUCUCUCACAUACAGCGUGUCACCCAGAGGCUGUGAGGACUGACAUGCAUGAACCAAAGUGUCACACUGAGUUAGAGAAGAGUCCAAGCUGUCAGGGCUGGAAAACCGUCUAUCCUGUUAUUUAUUUUCCUCCACUACCUGCUCGUUGUUUUCCCAGCAUCUCAAGUGUACAGUUCAGUAAAGUGGAUGUUCUGCAGAGCGCUGCUGAAAACAAACCCGGAGCCGGUGUACAGUCGCUGAAACCACUGGCCCAUCACAGCGGUUGCGUAAGGGUGUUUUGGGAGGUGGUGAAGUUUACUUUUAACAUCAGGAUUAGUAAGGUGCUGUUGACUAGACAGUCUCUCUUUGUUCCGCCUGAUGUUUUCAGAGGGCUGAGUCAACAGUUUCUGCUGUGCUGCUUCAGAACAUACAUCCAGUGUGGAACAUGGAGACCAGCCAGACCUGCCCUGAUGAAGGCAGCUCGCUGCAAAAAGUGCACAGAUUUAUGUUCAUUUCAGCCAGAGACGCUUCGUACAUCCAGGAAGGACCUCUCAAAUGUAAUGAGAAUGAGAUGAAACACAUAAAUUACAGUAAAUACCUGCAGCUGGAGUGUUUUACUGUAUUUUUACACAUUUACAAUUGUAUUUAUUUAAACAGUUAGGUACCUACUCUACAGGAGAAUAUGAGGUUUAUUGUGUAAUACUGUAACUGCUUUCAUUUUGUGUUGUUUUGUGUCUUGUUUGUGUCAUUUGCUGUCUUGUUUUUGUCGUUUUGUGGUUGUUUUGAGGUGCGUGACUCGGAGUCUGACUGGAGAUUUAGAGAUUUUACGUUGUCUUGGUUCUUGCUUUUCUCAUUUUGCAUCUCGCUUGCAUCGUUUUGUGUCUCGUAUUUGUUGUUUCAUGUCUCAUAUUUGUUGUUUUGUGUAAUUUUGCGUCUCGUUUAUGUUGUAUGUUGUUUUGUGUCUUGUUUGUGUCAUUUACUGUCUUGUUUUUGUGUCAGUUUUGUCAUUUUGUGUUUUGUUUGUUUUGUUUGUGUUGUUUUGUGUCUCAUAUUGGUUGUUUUGUGUAAUUUUGUGUCUGUUUCUGCGUGAUGGUCAUUGUUUUGUGUCAUUUCUUGUUGGCGUCUCAUUUGUAUUGUUUUGUGUCUGCUUUUGUGUAGUUUUGUGUAACGUUUUUGUGUCUCAUAUGUGUUUUGUUGUGUUAUUUUGUGUUUUAUUUUUGUUGUUUUGUUGCUUGUAUUGGUUGAUUUGUGUAAUUUUGUGUCUGUAUCUAUGUGAUGUUUCAUUGUUUUGUGUCAUUUGUUGUUGGCAUCUCAUUUGUAUUGUUUUGUGUCUCCUUUUGUGUAAUUUUGUGUCUAGUUUUUGUCAUUUUGUGUCAUAUUUGUUUUGUUGUGUCAUUUUGUGUCUUCUUUGGGUCGUUUCGUGGCUCAUAUUUGAUUGUUUUGUGUAAUUUUGUGUUUUGUCUGUCUUGUUUUCUGUCUUAUUCAUGUCAUUUUGUAUAGUUUUGUUUCUGGUUUUUGUAGUUUUGUCUCUCAUAUGUGUUUCGUUGUGUCAUUUUGUGUUUUAUUUGUGUUGUUUUCUGUCUUAUUCAUGUCAUUUUGUGAGGUUUUGUUUCUGGUUUUUGUAGUUUUGUGUCUCAUAUGUGUUUCGUUGUGUCAUUUUGUUUUAUUUGUGUUGUUUUGUGGCUCAUAUUGGUUGUUUUGUGUAAUUUUGUGUUUUGUCUGUGCUGUUUUCUGCCUUAUUCAUGUCAUUUUGUAUAGUUUUGUUUCUGGUUUUUGUAGUUUUGUGUCUCAUAUGUGUUUCGUUGUGUCAUUUUGUGUUUUAUUUGUGUUGUUUUCUGUCUUAUUCAUGUCAUUUUGUGUAGUUCUGUUUCUGGU